GACGAACCGAGCGAACGUUGUUCGGAAUCACUGGGCAUAAAGCGCGCGUAGGUGGCUUGAUAAGUCGAUGGUGAAAUCCCAUGGCUCAACCAUGGAACUGCCGUCGAUACUGUCAGGCUUGAGGACGGUAGGGGAGAGUGGAACUCCUGGUGUAGCGGUGAAAUGCGUAGAUAUCAAGAGGAACACCAGUGGCGAAGGCGAGUCCCUGGACAACACCUGACACUGAGGCACGAAAGCCGGGGGAGCAAACAGG
rnacentral:rRNA from 1 species